GUACACUCCUACGGGAGGCAUCAGUGGGGAAUAUUGGACAAUGGGCGCAAGCCUGAUCCAGCCAUGCCGCGUGAGUGAUGAAGGCCCUAGGGUUGUAAAGCUCUUUCACCGGUGAAGAUAAUGACGGUAACCGGAGAAGAAGCCCCGGCUAACUUCGUGCCAGCAGCCGCGGUAAUACGAAGGGGGCUAGCGUUGUUCGGAUUUACUGGGCGUAAAGCGCACGUAGGCGGACUAUUAAGUCAGGGGUGAAAUCCCGGGGCUCAACCCCGGAACUGCCUUUGAUACUGGUAGUCUUGAGUUCGAGAGAGGUGAGUGGAAUUCCGAGUGUAGAGGUGAAAUUCGUAGAUAUUCGGAGGAACACCAGUGGCGAAGGCGGCUCACUGGCUCGAUACUGACGCUGAGGUGCGAAAGCGUGGGGAGCAAACAGGAUUAGAAACCCGGGUAGUCCC
rnacentral:rRNA from 1 species